rnacentral:rRNA from 1 species
GGUUAAAAAGCUCGUAGUUGGAUUUCUGUCGAAGACGGUCGGUCCGCUCUAUGAGCGUGUAUCUGAUUCGGCUUUGGCAUCCUCGUGGGGAACGUAACUGUGCUUGAUUGCAUGGUGCGGAAUUCACGACUUUUACUUUGAGGAAAUUAGAGUGUUCACGGCAGGCAAGCGCCUUGAAUACAUUAGCAUGGAACAAUAAUAUAGGACUUUGGUUCUAUUUUGUUGGUUUCUAGGACUAAAGUAAUGAUUAAUAGGGAUAAUUGGGGGCAUUUGUAUUAACGCGUCAGAGGUGGAAUUCUUGGAUUGCGUUACGACAAACUACUGCGAAAGCAUUUGCCAAGGAUGUUUUCAUUGAUCAAGAACGAAAGUACGGGGAUCGAAGAUGAUUAGAUACCGUCGUAGUCUAUACCAUAAACUAUGCCGACUAGAGAUUGGAGGUCGUUCUUUUUAUGACUCCUUCAGCACCUUAUGAGAAAUCAAAGUCUUUGGGUUCCGGGGGGAGUAUGGUCGCAAGGCUGAAACUUAAAGGGAUUGGCGGAAGGGCACCACCAGGAGUGGAGCCUGCGGCUUAAUUUGACUCAACACGGGAAAACUCACCAGGUCCAGACAUAGUAAGGAUUGACAGAUUGAUAGCUCUUUCU